rnacentral:rRNA from 1 species
ACAACACCCGAAGUCGGUGGGGUAACCCGCAAGGGAGCCAGCCGCCGAAGGUGGGGUAGAUGAUUGGGGUGAAGUCGUAACAAGGUAGCCGUAUCGGAAGGUGCGGCUGGAUCACCUCCUUU